GAACACAAAAUGGCGACACGUGGUUAGCAUUCGUCGCCAACGAGAAAUUGGGGUCGGCCCGAAAGCUCUAGAAUGCACCCCCCUUCUUCCCCGGGGCCUUCCACCUCCGCGAGUUUUAUGACUUAAAAAACCCCACAGGCUGGUCUGAAGAGGAAGACAAACAUAAAGAUGAAGUGCUUAAUUCAAGGUCACACAAUGUCGGGGAUGGACCUCCAGAUUUCCUUACUGGAAAACAAGCUCAGGGCUCCCACUGAUUGUACAUUAUGAGACGGAGUCUUGCUAUGUUGCCCAGGCUGGUCUUGAACUCCUCACCUCAAGCGAUCCUCUCGUCUUGGCCUCCCAAGUGUCAGGAUUACAGGCAUGUGCUAUCACACCCAACCUGAUACAUUGCCUUUAUAAAUUUUUUUUUCUUUAUUCUAAAAACCAGAAAAAACAAAACUGGAUACAUGUGCAGAACAUGCAGGUGAGACGUGGUCUUGUAACACAGUGGUUAAGAAUGUGACUUUGGAGCCAGCCUGCUAGGGGCUGAAUUCUGACUCAGCCAUUUACUAACUGUGUGACCUUAGGCUGGAGUGCAAUGGCAUGAUCUCGGCUCACCACAAUCUCUGCUUCCUGGGUUCAAGCGAUUCUCCUGCCUCAGCCUCCCAAGUACCUGGGACUACAGGCACUCGCCACCAUG
rnacentral:antisense_RNA from 1 species